AAAACUUUGACGGGUACAUGAUAUACAUCUAAACAUUUCUCUCUUCCACUUUCUACUGUCAGCUGUAUAAAGUUUAUGUACAUGGAAAACACACACUGACCAAGCAAAAAUAUGUUACAAGGGAAGGAUAAACACUAAUUUUGACAAUAGCUUUCCCAGUUUCAGUUGAAGCACUUGUGGGAUCUUGAGAUUCUCAGCCCUGGUACAUACGAUUAAGCGUAAUUGAAUAUCCAUAAGGCUGGAAGAUCAACAUCCAUCUGCCGGAAGAUAAGUUGGUUAA
rnacentral:misc_RNA from 1 species